CCACAUCUCCAACUUGAAGAGAAAACACGUGUGAGAUCAUUCUUUUCAGAUUUUAAUUGAAUUCCUUUUGAUUUUGAAUCAGAAUGUAAAAUACACUCUCUCUCGAAAAAUGCAAAAGCUCUCACUUCUCUCUGACUCUGUGUAAGUUUCCAAUGGCAAUUUUAUAAAGAUAAAUUGCAGAGCUCAAGCAUGCACACAGAGGAAAUAAAGGAGGAGAAGAAGAAGACAAUGAUGUUAUUCGGAUUUUUUGUUCGACGAAGAUUCGUCCUUUCACCCUCAUUGCGACAACUUUAUGGAAACGACACAAUGGACUUGUUAUUUGGGAGUCCUAACAUGCAUUGAAGGAUCCAAUCCAAUGAUUUAUGAUUUUAUGGAGGAACUUGGCCAUGGUUUGACUAGGCACCCUCCAAAUGGUAUUGGAUUGAAGCUAGUCUACAUUCUUCAAUCAAUUGGACGCUUAAAUGGUGUAGAUGUUAGUGUUGCCUUGGUGACCCAUUCUACAUUAGGCUACCAUAACUCUAUCACAACCACGAAGGAUCACAUUGUCUACUCUUCACCGUGGCAUCCCCCUCUGUUACACUCAUACAAAAUCAAUUCAAAUGUAGUAGUUUUUUGUGGUUCUAUGGGACAAGAUGCUAUUGUUGGAAAUUUGAUGGGAGAAAUAAUACUUGUAUUUGAACCCUACUAGCUGGAUAUUGCUAGCCACAUCCACUUAUCAGAAAGCUUUAGCUCUUUUAAAU